GAAAGGAGAGGGUUUGGCUAUGUUUUACGGCGUCGGAGGAGGUGAAGUGAUGAGGGAUUAUUUUGUUGUUGUAGCCGGUGUGAAUGGAGAUCUCGGAAGCCAAUCGGUUGGAUGGGUUGUGUCGCCGUGAAAGUUGUUGGAGGAAGGGUUUUACCGUGGUGGCGAUUUUUGUGUUUAAUGGGGUCUUGCCGGCGACGGAGGGUUUGGUGAAGGCCACACAGAAGGUUUGUUUGUAUGGUUGUGGUUAGGUGAUUGUUAGGUGAUGAGUGUUGGAAUGCGGCGUAUCACGGUGCGGGUGGAAGGCGAAAUAUGGUAUUAAUGUUAUUGUGAGGGUCGAUGAAGAAAAAGAAGGGUAAAAGGAGAGGAAUGGCGAGGAGGAGCUUUGACGGGGGAAGGAGGUUGUAGGAGGAUGACGUCAGAGACCUGACGGGGGAAGGAGGUUGUAGGAGGAUGACGUCAGAGACCUUUGGGAGAAGAAGAGGGUCCUUCCCAAGAGAGAAAGAUCAAAAAUUCUUUAAUUCGUCUCUUUCGUUUUCUUUUAUUUUUUUUCUAGCAGACCAAAAGAGAGAAUUCUGUUGGUGAGUGGGGAUGAAACCAAUCCCUUUUUGAUUGGUGGGAGCGGUCCCUCUCUAAUCCCUUCACCAACUAUUAAUCAAUUUAUUUUCUACUCCUUUUUUUUGUUUUUUCGCCAGCUGUCCUCUUGGAGAGAGGGAGUACUAUUGUGAGCUGUCAUCAACAAUGUCGUUGGGAAUGGAAGGGGGUGACGUGUGUGGUGUGUGCAUUAGGGAAUAACCUUUUAUUUUAACCAAAUAUAAAAUGAGAUAAGAGUGCCACAUGGAGCUCACUAAUUGGACCAAGGAGAUAUUUUAUUUUUUUAAUUUUAUUAAUUAACUAAAUAAAUUAAAUGUUAGUUUAUAAUUGAUUAAUAAGAGAAAAUGAGGAUAAUGCAUGUGAUCAUUUGAUUAAAUUUGAAUCGACGCUUCAGAUUUAAAUCAAAGAAGCAUACGAAAAUUUAAAAUGCCUACAAUGUCUCUUCUAAAUGAUUUAAUGAAUUUAAAACAAAUUAAAUCAAUUAAAUUAAAUAAAACUCACAAUUUUAAAAAUGAACGUGAUAAAAAUAAAAUAAUAACACAAAAUUUAUAUUUUAUUAUCCCGGUUAGUUUAACGAAAGAAUAAAAAUAAAACAACUAAGAAUGAAUAAAAGUCGGACACAAAUUUGCUCGAAAAAUUAAAUCGGACACACUAAAAUGAUCAGUGUGAAAUAAAUUUAUUGGAAAAAUACAGCGUUUAAUUUAAUUUUGAAAUAAAUUUUGACCGGUUAAAAGGCUCAAACGGAUCAAAAUGCGACCGAGAAAGUUGUCGAAAAAUAUAAUGAGCACACCAGGUUAAACUACGUGAACCAUAGAUUAAUAAUACUGACGUCUGCAAGCUUGAUUUCAAAACUUUUUACCCGCUGAUUUUGCAUGUACUUGAGGAAUGAUUUAACCAAUUUGUCUGUAUAUUCAAGAAUUUAUUCUGACUGAUAUUUUAGGUAUUAUUCAUGAUAAAAUGAAAUAUUAUGCUAUACAUAUGAUACAAACUGAAAUUAAAAUCGAAUUUAUGAAAGUUUUAAAAUGUCCGGACAAAAUUGGGGUAUGAUACCAUGUAGCUUGCAUAGGGGAGAAUAAAAAACCCAAGGUUCGGUGGUUUGAUUCUCCGUCACCUCCAUCUUCAUUAGCUCUCAGAUUUUUGUGCUUAGGAUUCUUGAUGUUAACUGCUUAAUUUUCAGAAUUUGUUAAGCUAUAAUUAAGAGAAAGAUUAGGAUAGGAGUGUUGGAGAGGAGUAAGAAUUUGGAGCCUUUUUCCUUGAAUCCGGACAACUCUGCCGCCUCCGGUGCUGCGGUGCCGGAACUCCGACAGUGGUUCUGCUUUGCCUUCAUGUUGGGAUUGUUUGACUGGUCCAAGGAGUGUUCACUCCAUACCAUUCAUUUCCAUGUGUAGCAUUAACAUGCAUGCUGAUAGCAUUUUUUCGUCUUCAUUAUUGGUGCUGAAUUCUUGCUAACUAUGUUGUUUGAGCCUUAGGCCAAGCUACUGUUCAUCUUAAUCAUGAAAGUCUCGUAAUUAAUUAAUCGAUUCCAAUUCCAAUUCUGUUUUUGACAUUACUCUUGAUGUUGUUUGUGUAUGAAAUAGUUUUUAAUUCCUGUUUUUGGCAUUUUUGAGUCACAUAAUUGUAGAGGUAAAUAGCUUAAUUCAUGUUCAAUUAAAGAUUAGGAUUAGGUAAUUAGUUAGGAAUUAGGCUUAAUCAUGUGCAUGUUAGACUAAUUUCUUAAUUUUUCCAGACUUUGUUUUCACGUGAUCAACCAUGCUAGGCUUAGAAUUUCAUUUGGUUUACCAUGCUAAUUUCCAUGUACAUGAGUAAUCUCACUUUGACUAGAUUACGUUUCAUUUGUGGUUAAGGGCUGAACUGAAAAUUCCAUUUCAUUUUAAUUUGAUAUACGUUUGUUCAUCACGAUCAUCAUAUCGCACCAUGCUAUUAUCAUACCCUCUCAUUCAUUUGAGUCGGCAUUUUAAUUCCUUCUUAUUUGAUGCAUACUAACCAGUGUUGUUUUGUGGCGACAUGCAAAUAAGAGAUCUCAACACUAUCCAAAUCCCUUUUAUUUUUAUUCGUUAGUUUGUAGUAUGUGAAGUGCCAUGCCACUUGUAUGGUUUAUACAUGGCACAUGAGUUGUAAAUUAUAUUUCCCUUUCAUGCCUUCAUGUUGUAUUAUGUGGAUCCAUCCCCUCAUUAUGGGUUAAAUGUUCCCCCUCCCCUAGUCAUGUAACAACUUAAAUUUACUGCUUUCUAGUUAGUUCACCAUGCAUGUUAAUAACCAAGAUAAAAUACAAAACGAUAAAAAAAUCAUUUUUGAAAGAAACAAAAGGUACUUGAUUCAAUGUCAAGUUUUUUUUCCAAAUAAAACUCACACCAUUGCAACGCAAACACUCGAUUUGACACCAAGUAUUUCCCACCCUUUCUUUCCCAUCUUAUCUCCUCAAUCGACCACUAUUUCAAAAUCAAUAAGCAAACCCUUCAUCCAACGUUAAAUGGUCCUUUUUUAAAUCAAAUUCAAAAACACAAUAAAUACGAUUAGGAUUGUAUGCCACGAGCCUUAAGUGGUAAAGAAGGGAUGAGAAUGGAGCUUUCCUACACUCGUUCUGAAUACUUCGAACACAAGACGUUUGGCUUGGUAGUUUUAGGUAUUCACCUUUAUCCAUAGUCUUUAGUGCAAUCCAUAAUUAAUAACACUUUCUUAAAACAUAAAAAUAAUCCAACGCAUUCAAACCUUUUGUUUGAGCCUUAGGGCGACGCAAUCGAAAAUCCUUCUUCAAGGUAAUAAAAAUCAACCAAACAAACAAACCUUUUAAACCCAUGAACUAUGGGGCUCUGAUUUCUCACUUCAACAAGUGGGCAUACGUAGGCACAAGGACCCAAAUCCUUGGCGAGCACACUAAUUUAAAAUCUACCUCCACUCCGCAAGCCUUUGGCAAGAAAACAUUCGAUAAAUAACAUCCACGUAAGCGCAAACAUCCUAGAUGGUUCCCAUGGAGUAACAUGGAUGUGAGGGGUGCUAAUACCUUCCCCUUGCAUAACCGACUUCCGAACCUGUUCGUGGUUGCGAUGACCAUUCUUUGAGGUUUUCUAGAUAUUUUCCCUUUCCUUUAGAAUAAAUAAAAACCGAUGGCGACUUUGUAUUUUUCGCGUAGCGACAACUAACGACUCUGGUUGGGAUAUGCAGACAGCUUGUUGGGACUUCCCUAGCGAGCUGGAGACUCUGCUAGGGACAACUCUCUAAGUAAUUCAAGCCUAACCUAGGUCGCUUCCUUGCGUGUGUGGGUGUUUAUCCUUUUGAUUGUUUGUUUUAUUUAUUGCCUUUCGCUUUAAAUUUUGUAAUAUAUGUUACUUGGAUCCAUUGUUCUAUGAUACCGAAUGGAUGACACCUUAAUUGCAAGAAGCCUUGUGGUAAAGACUCUCCACCCGAGUCUAGCGUGGAAAUUAAGAUAGGAUAGGUUGUGUAGUAUGGGCCACCAAGAAGCUUUUCUCGUAAGGGUCGAUACGAGAAUCUCGCUUAGAGUAGAUUCUUUUGGAGAUGUUGACGACUGUCAAGCUUUUGGCGUAAGCGAUCAAUGUCUUCAUUAGGAUCAAUGACUCUAAGGACCUUCAUAGAAUAUUGAACCUUUGACUAAUUAAUAUUGAUGGUCGCGUAGUGCGGGUCCCUAAGAAGCUUUUCUCGCGUGGGUCGGUACAAAGAUCUCACUCAAAGUAGAUUUUCUUGAUCGAGUUGUCGACCGACAAGCUUUUGUUGUAAGCGAAAAACAGUCAAGGAGGUCCAUGACUUUAAGAACCUUGUCUAGAACCCGAUGUCGAUGGUUACGUACUGAGGGUCCCCGAGAAGCUUUUAUCGUGUGGGUUGGUACGAAGAUCUCACCCAGAUUAGACUCAUUUGAGGGAGUUGACGACCGACAAGCUUUUCCCGUCAGCGCCAAACAGUCAAAUGGAUCGAUGAGUAUGGGGUCCCUAUCUAUAACCCUAGACUACAACCAGUGAGAUCCCUAAUAUGGAGAGAAAUCAGUGUUAUCCUCCAUCCGUAUCUCGAGCCUGUGAUACUACGCCUUCUUGUGUAUGCAACUUGUGAAGCCAUGCUUAUGCACCGUACAUUCAUGCAUUCGUGCAUUCGUGCAUUCGUGCAUUCGUGCAUUCAUGCAUCAUGAGUGAUAAAAACAAAUAUAAUACUCAUGCAUCAUUCACAUAUUAUAUUGCAUUUCGUGAGACCCAUCUCACUAUCACUUGGCCUUUUGUCAGACGAACCACUUCCAACAAAGCUGAUUUCCCGACAUCGGUCUUGAACUUGAAGCAUGUCGUAGAUUACCAUGGAAGAAAUACGAAGAGGUCAAGAAGCGUUGAAGGUCGAAAUCAACCAGCUGAAGACUCAGAUGAGUUUGAUCAUGGAGAUCUUGCAGUCAAUGAUGAGGAAGGAGGGAAAGUCCAUGCCAACUGAUGUACUAGAAGGGGUCACUCCGGUGAGUGUGUCUGACCUCAUUCCACCUUAGGAGCAGCCUCAUGGUUUUCGUCCACAUCCUGUACCUCCAAGGGCUCCGUAUCAGUGACCAUUUCUUGUUCCCCGACCAAGGUGAAGGAACCCUGUGUCGGACCAGUAUCCAAAUCAGCAGUGGAACUUCGCUUAAUAAAGAAGAUAGGGACCAAGAAGGCCUCAAAAGCAGUUUGAUCUAGUUCCCAUGUCGUAUGGUUGAAUCCUACCCCUAUUUCUUAAUAGCUCAUUGGUGUAGUUGAGGGAAGCUAAAUCCCCUCCAACACCUCUUCCUCCAGAUUAUGAUGUGAAUACUAGGUGCGAGUUCCAUUCUAGGACGCCUGGACACUUAAUCGAAGACUGUAAGAGCCUCAAGUACAAGGUACAUGAUUUGAUUGAUUCAAGGGUCAUCGUGCUCACACCGUAAGGCCUGAACAUAAUGAACACUCCCAUGCCUCCACAUGAGGGCACAUCUGCAAUGCCAUGACCGAUGCGAAUGGAAAAUAGGGUAGAUUGGAAGAGUCUGCACCUACGAGUAAAGUUUGAGAAGGAUCCCCUUGAAGAUGAUCAUGUUAUCUUCUGUAAGCCUAGUAAUUCCAGUCUGAGGAUCUGAAUAAGGCCAAUUAUGCCCGUAGUCACUAGUUUUAUUAAAACAUGUUCAUGUGUGAUUUUCUUGAUUGUCAUUUGUAACACUAAUUUGUAGCAAACUAGUUUGUUUUUGAAUAAUAAUGACAUUUUAUUGAAUAUGCAUGUUUUGAAUAAAUCCAUUCGUGGCCACUCAUACUUUAUUUUGUCAAUAUCUAACUUUUGUUUGAGCAAAACCUAGAGGAGGAGGAUGAAAUUGAAAACACGAAAUCACUACUCGUAUAUGUAGAAGCAAGCUUCAAUCCAAGAAUUAUUUUGAUGAAGACAACUUGCAUCAAUGCAAAAAGAGAAGAGCUACAAAGUUAUUUCAAGCAUCAAGUUUUCAAAGCCGCAUAUGCAUUUUGAUCAAGUUUCAUUUUCAAGUCAACCGUUUGCAAGAUUGUUGAUUCACUUCUUAGGUAUAUCUAACUCACUCUUAGAUUAGUAUACAAGUGUUCAACAACCAUGAUCUGGAUUUGCAUCUUUUAACAUAACCAUUUGUUAACACCUUGAAAUGCAAGACACAUUUAUUUUUAAGUAUUUUUCUGCAUUUCAACAGUGUUAACCGGUUAACCAUAUGGGUUAACCGGUUAACAGCCCAGUUUUUCAAAUUCUUUGUUAACGUUUGCAUGCGUUAACCGGUUAACCCAUAUGGUUAACCGGUUAACACUGUUCGUUACAGCAAAAAAUGUUUUUGAAAAAUUAUAUCUUUUCAUCAAUGUUCAUGAGGGAAUUGAUACCUCUUUGAAAAGGUGUUUUGGCAAUAUAAAUUAUUAAAUUUUCAAAAUGAAUUUUGACCUCCAAGAAUUUUCAUACAAACUUCAAAUAAUCACUCUCUCAUAUUUUUCCUUCCAUAAAUUUUUGAAAGUGUUCAUAAUAAAAAUUGUCAUCUCAUUCUAUUGUUGAACACUUGCAUAUUAUCUUUUGAGUGACUUAUUUAUCUAAGGAGAAGAUCAAUCAAGAGAAGAUUGAUAACACUACAUCUUUGAUAAAAUCAUUCAUAGAAUUAUUUCUGUUUGACUUGUGAUCCAGGAUUGUUGGACACAAGGGUUGGUGUUGAAGAGGAUUGUUCUUCAUACACUUGUUUGUCUAUAGGUUAGAUAGUAGGCAUCACCGUUUGUGUGAAUAGGCUGUACCAUAUUCUAACUAUAGUGAAUUCUCUUUCGUGUGAAAGGGGAGUGGAUGUACCUUCGGAUUGUGAAGGGAACCACUAUAAUUUCCGGUGUCGUUUACUUUCCGCAUUUUAAUUUUCCGCACUUAAACAAAAAUAUCCAAAAACCGGAAACUAGAUCGAAGAAAUUUUUAUCACCUAAUUCACCCCCCCUCUUAGGCGCAUUUACAACUUACAUUUGGCAUCAGAGCAAGUUAUAGGUAACUUGUUCCUAGAGAUCCAGCAUGGCUUCCGCAAGCAUAAAUCCGGUUUUCAAAGACGGUGGAAGUAGCAACAAGCCCCCACUCUUCUCCGGAGAAUAUUUCGAUUUCUGGAAAAUAAGAAUGAAGGCACAUCUUGAGGCCCAAGGAGAAGGUAUAUGGGAAGCAGUUGAAGAAGGUCCACACAAACCGGUGAAUGUGGUGAAUGGAGUUGGUACCGCAAAGUUGAAAAACACUUAUGACGAAGAUGAUAGGAAAAAGAUUCUGAAUGAGAAGAAGGCAAUCAACAUACUCCAAAGCGCUCUUAGUAUGGACGAGUUCUUCCGUAUAUCUCAAUGUAAAUCGGCAAAGGAGAUUUGGGACACCUUGGUUGAAACACAUGAAGGAACCACCGAAGUGAAGAGAUCGAGGCUAAACACCCUAAGUCAAGAAUAUGAGAUGUUCCGCAUGCAGCCCGGUGAAUCUAUAGUUGCCUUACAAAAGAGAUUCGUCCAUCUAACAAAUCACUUGAUCGCUCUGGGUAAAACUUUCACUAAUGAUGAUCUCAACCUGAAAGUCCUAAGAUCUUUGACAAGAGAAUGGCAACCGAAAGUGACCGCUAUUUCGGAAAAGAAGAGUCUCUCAACGAUGACAUCCGCGUCUCUAUUUGGAAAACUUCAAGAACACGAAUUGGAACUUGGAAGGCUCGAGAAGCACGAAAGUCAAGAAAAGAAGUCCAAGGGAAUUGCCCUGAAGGUUGAUUCAAAAAGGGACAAAGAUGAUGAGACAUCCGAAGAUGAGAACUUUAUGCUUCUUGUAAAGAAGCUUGGUAAGUUUUUUAAUAAAAAUAAGAAUUCCUCUUAUCCUAAAAAGAAUAACCAUUUCAGGAAAAAGGAAGCAUCCACAUCAAUGCAAGACGUUACGUGUUAUGAAUGUGGACAGCAAGGUCACAUAAAGACGGACUGCCCAAAACUUGCAAAGAAAGGAGGAUUCAAAGGCAAGAAGGAAUUCAAAAACAAAAAGGCUUACGUCGCUUGGGACGAUAAUAAGAUCAGUUCAUCUUCGGAAUCGGAAAGAGAUGAAUGUGCGAACAUGGCUCUUAUGGCUUCACAUCACUCCGAUGAAGAAAUCGAUGAGGUGAGUAGCAAUUUUUCAGUUUAUGACAAUGAUGCACAAGAUGUUAUAAAUGAAAUCUUAAAAGAAUGCAAGACAUUGUAUAAAAUUAUUUCAUCCCAAAAGAAACAAAUUUCAUCCUUAGAAGAAAAAAAUACUGCCUUGGAAAAAUAUAUUGAAAGUGGAAAACAAAAGUUGAUGGAUGAAAAACAAAGUCUUGCAUGUAAGAAUUGUGAAUCUUUAUCUUUUCAAAUUGUUCAACUUAAAAGAGUUUUAGAAAGAUAUGAAAAAGGUCAAAUUGGGUUGGAAGAAAUUCUUAAACACCAAAGGUAUUCUAAUGACAAAAGUGGAUUAGGAUAUUCUAAGUUUUCUAAACCAAGCACAAAUAAGACCAUUUUUGUUAAAGCAAGUGAACAAGUUGCUAAAGAGAAAGUAAACAAUUCUAAAAUUAUGCAUCAAAGUCAUAAAAAGAAAAUGAUUGCUAAGAAGAAGAAUUAUGUUCCUAGAUAUAGAAGUAAUUUUCAACCUACUUGCUUUUAUUGUGGAAUCAAAGGGCACACACCUAAUGCUUGUUAUGUGCGAAACUUUAGCGUUCCAACAGGGCAUUAUGUGUGGGUUAAAAAGGGUACUAACUACCAAGGACCCAAAGCAAUUUGGGUACCUAACAAAACUUGAUUUUGUUUUGUAGGUAUGCUUGAAGACAACCUCGAAUCAAUGGUAUCUUGAUAGCGGUUGUUCAAAGCAUAUGACGGGCGACAUCGACAAAUUUUCACAUCUAUCUUUAAAGGCCAAAGGAUAUGUUACAUACGGUGAUGACACCAAAGGGAAGAUCCUUGGAGUAGGAACCAUUGGAGCACCUCCUGUUACCAUCAUCGAAGAUGUCCUUUAUGUUGAAGGCCUAAAGCACAAUUUACUAAGUAUAAGUCAAUUGUGUGACAAAGGGUUCCGAAUCAAUUUCACAAAAGAUGAAUGUGUGAUAGAGCAUGAAGUCACCCAUGACAUCUUGCUAAAAGGUAAAAGGGUUAAUAAUAUUUUUAUGACUUCUUUUGAUGAUUCUUCCUUGAAGGUAAAAUGCCUAAUGACGAACAACAACGAGGCUUGGCUAUGGCAUAAAAGAUUCGCUCAUAUACACAUGGAGCACAUGAACAAAUUAAUAAAGCAUGAUCUUGUCGUUGGUCUUCCAAAGAUUAAGUUCAUCAAGGAUAAGCUGUGUGACGCAUGCCAAAAGGGAAAGCAAACCAAGACAACUUUCAAAUCCAAGAAUGUUGUAUCUUCAUCGAGGCCACUUCAACUCUUGCACAUGGAUCUCUUCGGUCCAUCAAGAACGAAAAGUUUCGGAGGUAAUGUUUACGGUUUGGUAAUUGUUGAUGAUUUCUCUAGAUAUACGUGGACUUUGUUUCUUGUGCAGAAAAGCGAUGCUUUCAAGGCUUUCAAAAAAUAUGCAAAACAAAUUCAGAAUGAGAAGUCUCUUUCAAUAAUCUCCAUUAGAAGUGACCACGGGGGAGAAUUUCAAAACACAUUCUUUGAAGAAUUUUGCGAAAAACACGGAAUUUCCCACAACUUCUCCGCACCACGAACACCACAACAAAACGGUGUCGUAGAGAGAAAGAAUAGAUCCUUGGUGGAACUCGCAAGAACAAUGCUCAGUGACUCCAACCUUCCUAAAUAUUUUUGGGCGGACGCAGUUAGCACAGCAUGCUUUGUUAGCAACCGUGUCAACAUUCGGCCGAUUCUCAAAAAGACUCCGUAUGAGCUUUUCAAAGGAAGGAAACCUAAUAUAUCCUUCUUUCACAUCUUUGGGUGCAAAUGUUUUGUCCUCAACAAUGGAAAGGACAAUCUUGGUAAGUUUGAUGAGAAAUCCGACGAAGGUAUCUUCCUUGGCUACUCCCUUUCUAGUAAGGCUUUUAGAAUUUUCAAUAAAAGAACUCUUACUAUUGAAGAAUCAACGCAUGUAUGUUUUGAUGAAACUAACCCCUCGAAAGAGGAUAACCUUGUUGUUGAUGACGAUGAUGAUAUAAUAGAUGUAUCACAAAAGGAACUUUCAAAUGUUCAAUCAAUUCCACAAGGAGAUGGCUCACCAAUCAUUGAAGAACAUCAUGAUCUACCGAAAGAAUGGAAAACUCAUAGAGAUCACCCCAUCGAUAAAGUUAUUGGUGAUAUUAGCCAAGGCGUUGCAACACGACUAAAUCUCAAAGAUGCUUGUCUCAACAUGGCUUUUGUGUCUCAAAUAGAACCAACCAAAGUCGAUGAAGCCUUAGGCGACGAUCAAUGGAUAGUAGCAAUGCAAGAAGAACUCAACCAAUUCGAAAGAAAUCAAGUUUGGAGUCUUGUACCAAGACCGGACAACAAGCACAUCAUUGGAACAAGAUGGGUCUUCAAGAACAAACUUGAUGAGAAUGGGAUCAUAGUUCGUAACAAAGCAAGAUUGGUCGCACAAGGAUACAACCAACAGGAAGGAAUUGAUUUUGAUGAGACGUUCGCUCCGGUAGCAAGGUUAGAAGCAAUUCGAUUAUUACUUGCUUUUGCUUGUUCUAUGAACUUUCAAUUGUUUCAGAUGGAUGUCAAAAGCGCUUUCCUAAAUGGCUAUAUCAAUGAAGAAGUCUACGUCAAACAACCUCCGGGUUUUGAAGACUUCAAGAACCCCUCACAUGUUUACAAGUUGAAGAAAGCACUAUAUGGUUUAAAGCAAGCACCGAGAGCGUGGUAUGACCGCCUCAGCAACUUUCUAUGUGAAAAGGGAUUUGUAAAAGGAAAGGUUGACAAGACUCUGUUCAUAAAGAAGAUCAAGGGUAACACCUUAUUGGCUCAAGUCUAUGUCGACGACAUCAUCUUCGGUUCAACAAAUAAAGAUCUUUGCGAAGAGUUUUCAACCAUGAUGCAAGGAGAAUUCGAGAUGUCCAUGAUGGGAAAAUUGAACUAUUUUCUUGGACUACAAAUCAAGCAAACCAAGGAUGGCAUCUUCAUCAACCAAUCCAAGUAUUGCAAGGAAUUAUUGAAAAGAUUUGAUAUGGAUAGUUGCAAAGUGAUGUCCACUCCUAUGGGAUCCGGAACGUACGUUGAUCAAGAUGAAUCCGGAAUGUCAAUAGAUAUUACAAAAUAUCGAGGUAUGAUUGGUUCAUUACUAUAUUUGACGGCAAGCCGUCCUGACAUUAUGUUUAGUGUAUGUUUGUGUGCACGCUUUCAAGCAAACCCGAAGGAAUCGCAUCUCACCGCCGUGAAGAGGAUUAUGAAAUAUCUCAAAGGAACAACGAACGUCGGACUAUGGUAUCCAAAAGGUAGUAUAUGCUCCUUGAUUGGUUAUUCUGAUGCUGACUAUGCAGGCUGUAAGACCGAUAGAAAAAGCACAAGUGGUACCUGUCACAUUCUCGGGAAUGCACUAGUGUCGUGGGCAUGCAAGAAGCAAGCAUGUGUCGCACUUAGCACGGCCGAAGCAGAGUACAUUGCAGCAGGCAGUUGUUGUGCACAAAUUUUAUGGCUUAAGCAACAACUUCUGGAUUUUGGUGUAGACCUCGGCUGCAUUCCUCUUCGAUGCGAUAACACAAGUGCCAUCAACAUCACAAAGAACCCGGUCAUGCAUUCAAGGACAAAGCACAUAGAUAUCCGACAUCAUUUCCUUCGAGAUCACGUGCUUAACGGAGAUGUAGAUGUUACGUUCGUGGAUACACAUAACCAACUCGCCGACAUAUUCACAAAACCAUUGGCUAAAGAGCAAUUCUUCAAGAUUCGGCGAGAACUUGGUAUUCUCAAUGAAGGUGACAUCUAACCUUGUCUUCAAAUUACUUGUUAUGUGGUAUAGUUGCUAAAAAUGUGUUUACUUUCAGUUUUUAUGUUAUGCAAUGCUAGCACUUCUUUUUCGCCGUUUUCCGUUUUUCUUACUUUCGCAUGUCCAAAUAUUAUCCGUUUUAAAAUAUUUUUAAAUCGAAAGUUGCGUAUUGAUAAGUGCUAACACUUUGUGCAAAAAUUUUGAAAAGAUCUUUUCCCGAUUCUUCCAAACGGAGCUGCUGUUUUUUUUCUACUUUUUGAAAAAUUCAGUCCGUUAACCGGUUAACGGUAUAGGUUAACCGGUUAACACCUUCCAACAACAACUCUGUUUUUCGUUUUUAAAUACAACAUUUUUAAAUUAAUUGUUUUAUUUUUAUUACGUGUGUUUAUGUUCAAUGCAUGUGCUUUACUCUUCCACCUUCUCCUCAUAACUCUCUCCUCCCUCAUUACUCUCCAUAAACCCUUCAUCUCUUUAUAUUCAACUUUCAUAACUCUCAAACCCCUUUUCCGAAAAUCCAUCUCUAAACCCUAGAAUCUUCAUCUUCUUCAUGGCUCCACCAAGAAUGGGAAAGGCUCCUGUAUCAUCAUCUAGCAGUGAAGAGGAAGAGUUGAAAAUGGAAACCGCCAAGAAAAGGAGGAUGGAUUUCAAAGUCAGGGUUAGACAUCUGCUUAAGGGUAAGUAUGUGAAUCUCAAAUCCUUCACUACUUUCUCUUUCCCUGAGUUGUUGAGAUACCAAGGAUUGCAUGCGUUCAUCACUGAUAAUGGGAAAAUUUACACUGAUUUGGUAAAAUCUUUUCUGAAUCAUUUUACUUUAAAUCUGAAUGAUGAUGAACAACACAUGCUGUCUGCAACUGUAAGAGACUCUGAAAUUGUUACAGACCUUAGGACGUUGGCUGCGUCUCUUAAGAUUCCAUAUUCUGGUUUUUUCCUUCGGAAAGGUGUUAAUCAUGAGGAAGGAAAAUGGGCUCAGUAUGAUAAGAUGGAAUACUACUACUCUAUCUGCAGAUUUCCCAGGGAGGUUGUUAUGUCGGGACAGCGCACUUCUCGCAUACUCUGCUAUGCUAAGAAUCUGUCGGUUGACGAUCGUAUGCUGCAUUAUGUUAUCUGCCAUGUCCUGCUGCCCAAGGAUUCCAACCUGUCUCAAAUCAAUGAUUUGGAAAUGCAAGUUCUGUUUGCAGUGAAGAACAAAAUCCGAGUUAAUUGGCUGCCCACUAUGAUGUAUCAUCUGAGACAGCAACUUUCUCUCAAAACAAGGCUGCCAUACGGUCGCCUUAUCUCAAGGAUUUUGGAACUCACAGAUAUGGAAAUCGGGAGAGAACCGUUUUUGGCUAUGACCACUACCGCCAAUGAAAUCAACGGCGUUACCAUCAUGAAAAAUACUGGAAUUAUUCAAAGCAACGACGGCUCCUACAAAUAUGAUGAUGGGUCCUCCUCUUCAAACUUCCCUAUUCCGGAAGGUGGCAUUACCAAUGAGUUUCUCUAUACUACCAUGAUGAGCCACCACCGUGAAACCACCCGUGCUAUCAAGAGUCUUCGGAACCUAGUGUUGAGUUCCCGCAACCUUCCUGUAGAAGAUGAUGAAGGUGAAGACGGUAGUGAAGCGGAUGGCGAGGAGGAUGAGGCCGGUUCGGAAGAAGAAUAGAGCACUAUGUUUUUUUUUCUAUGUUUCUGUUAUAUGUUGUUCUAAUAUUUUUGUUGUUAAACUAUGUUUAUGCUAUUUAUGUUUACCAAACACUUAACUUUUAAUCCAUAGUUAUUUUGUCAUAAUAUGUGAUUCAAUGUGUGUAUGCUUGUAUACUUGUUUUUUUUUUAGGUCUCUUCCUUUUUGCUAAUGACAAAGGGGGAGAAGACUUGUUUCUCUAAUGGUUUUCUAUGCAGAAUUAUUGUAUGCCUCUCAUUUAGGGGGAGUUCUUAAAUUUAGGGGGAGAAUCAACUUAGAGAAACUUCACUUUCAUGCAUCUAUUUNAGACGUUACGUUGUUUGAAUCGUGGGACAGCCAAGUCACAUAAAGAACGGACUGCCAAAACUUGCAAACGAAAAGGAGGAUCUCAAAGGCAAAAGGGAAUUCAAAAAACAAAGCUCUACGUCGCUUGGGACGCUAAUAAGAUCCGUUCAAUUCUCUCCGGAAUCGCAGAAAGAAGCCAUGAGAUGUCAGCGAAACAUGACUCACUUCAUGGACUUCACAUCCACUCCGCGAUGAAAGAACUCAGAGAGAGGAAGUAGCAUAUUUUCACAGACUUCUAACUGACAAUUGCAUGCCAACGAUGUUAAAUAAUGAAAACUCUCUAAGCACAGAACACUGCAAAGACCGAAUGUUAUAAAUAUUAUCAAUCCAAAAGAACCACAAUUGUUCACAUCCUUAGAAGAAAAAAAUACUCGCCUCCUGGAAAAUAUAUUGAAGUGGAAACACAAGUUGAUGGAUGAACAAACCCAAGAGUCUUGCAUGUAAGAAUUGUGAACUCUUUACUACUUUCAAAUUGUUCACUACAAAGAGUUUCGAAAUAUGAAAAGGCCCCAAUUGGGUUGGAAAAUUCUUCUUAACACAAGGAUAUUUCAAUGACAAGAGUGCUUAAAGACCUUUCUAACUAUUUCUAACCAGACACAAUAAGACCAUUUUUGUUUAAGCAAAGAUGCAACAUUGCCAAGGGCGCAAAGUUACCAACAAUUCUCAAAUUAAUGCAUCAAAGAUCACUAAAGAAAUAUGCUCAAGCAGAAGACAGAUUAAUGUUCCCUAGAUAUAGACAGUAUUUUCCAAGCCUAUUGCUUUCUAAUGUGAAAUCAAAGGGCACACCUAAUGCUUAGUUAUGUGCGAACGCCGUCUGCGUAUCAACAGCAGGAAUAUGUAGUGGGUUAAAAGAGUAUACUACACAAGGACCCAAAAGCAACCUAUGGGUACCUACCCACAAAACACUUGAUUUUGUAUUUCGUAGGUAUGCUGAAGCACUCGAAUCCAAUGGAUAUCUUUCGAUACGCGGUUGUUCAGCACUAUGCGAGCGACAUCGGACAAUUCUUCCACUAUCUUUAAGCAAAGGAUUAUUACAUUCACGGUACGAUGACACAAGGCAGCAUCUUCGGACGUAGGAACCCAUUGGAGCAACUCCUGUUGACCUCAUCGAGAAUGACACCUGUAUGUGAAGGCCUAACCACAAUUUACUCAAGCUAUAGUUCAAUUGUGUGACCAAAGAGGUUCGAAUCAAUUCUCACAAAAGAUGAAUGGUGAACUAGAGACAUGAAGUCACACUCAUGAAAUCCCUUGACUCAAAAGGCUCAAAAGGCGAUUAAUAUACUUUUAUGACUUCUUUUGAUGAUUCUUCACUUGAGGCUAAUGCACCUAUAGAACGAACCCAACCGGCUUUGGCCGGCUAUGGCAUAAAGAUCGCUCUUCACACAUGGAGCACCUGACAACUUAAUAACAGGAUCUUGUCGUCUGGUCUUCCAAAGAUAUAAGUUCAUCCAAGGAAGUUGCAAACCUGUGACACCUGCCAAAGGGCAAAGGCAAACCAGCACGCACUUUCAAAAUCCCAAGAUGUUGUGUCCCUUCCGCGUACAACGACGGCACUUCACUCUUGCACAUGGAAUCCUACUUCGGUCAUCAGAACGAAAAAGUCUCGCGGACCGUAAAAUGUUAGAACGGAUCUAGAAGGUAAUUGUUGCAUGACUUCUCUAGAUUACGUGCGACUUUGUUUCUUGUGCCACGCAACAAGCGCGUUUGCUCUUCAGGCGUUCAAAAAAUAUGCAAAACAAAUUCACGCACAUGAGAAGUCUCUUUCAUAUUUCCAUUAUAGAAGCUGACCACGGGAGAAUUUCAAAAACAUUCUCUUGAAAAUUUUUGCGAAGCACGAAUUUAUCAUAUAUCCGCACCACGAACAACACAACCAACAACCCGGUGUCGUAAGAGAGCAAAGACAUAGUCCUUGGGCGAACUCGACAAAGAACAGAUGCUCCAGUGACUCCAACCUUCCCUAAAUUUUCGUGGGCGAGCACCGCAACGCUUACGCAAGCUGCUUUGUCUAGCAACGUUGUUUCACAUUCGAACCGAUUCUCAAAAACUCCGUAUGAGCCUUUUCAAGGAAGGCACCUCAAUAUAUCAACUUCUUUUCACAUCUUGAGGUGCACCACUGUCAGCUUUGUCACUCAACAUUGGAAGGACAAUUUCGUAAGUUUCGAUGAGAAUCGCGCCGAAGGUAGCUUCCUUGAAGCAUACUCCCUUUAUCAGGCUUCUUAGGAAUUUUCUAAAAGAAAUUUACUAUAAGAUCAACGAUGUAUGUCUUUGAUCAACUUACCUCGAAAGAGGCAUAACCUUGUUGUUGAUGACACAUGAUGGACAUAAAGAGGCUAUCAAAGGGAACUGCAUCAAAUGUUCAACUCCAUUCUACAAGGAGGGGGAAGGCGGAUCACAAUCAUUGAGAUUCCAUGCUCUACCGAAGAGUAGGAGACUCAUAGAGAUCACCCAUUGAUAAAGUUUAAUUAGUGCAUAUUAGCAAGGCGUCCUCUGCAACACGACUCAGAAUCUCACAAGUGCUUGUCUCACACAUGGCUUUGUGUCUAAAUAAACCACCAAAGGUCGAUUGAGCAUUAGGCGACCAUCACAUGCGAUUAGUAGCAAUGCAAGAAGAAUCACAAUUCGAAAGAAACUCAGUUUGCGUAUCCGUUACCAACGACCAAGACAACCAGACAUCAUUGAACAGAUGCGUCGUCAAGACAACUUGCAUUUCGAGGUUCAUAGGGAACACAACCAAAACCAAACGGGGGAACAUAUGGACUAUGUUACGGUUACAAAGCGAGAUUCGGUCGCACAAGCUACAACAGACGAAGGAAAUUGAUU
rnacentral:lncRNA from 1 species